GACCCUGUCUCAACAAACAAACAAACACGCAAACAAACAAACUCCUUGGGUAAUGACCCAGCGGUCACCCAUCGUGAUCAAUUUUUCCGUGGGACUGAACCACUGUCAUUUUCUGGUGCUUUAUAACAGCUUACAAAGUGUUUCCGCAGUUACUUUCUCAUUUGCUUUUCCCCAGUGCUCACGGCGUUAAUGGCGGUGUAUAGAUGCAGAAGCCAAGAGAGGUUAAGUCAUUUGCCCAAAGUUACAGAGCAAGGGGAGACCUGGACCUGAGCCCCAGUCCUUGGCCUCUGCUCUCACGCUUUCCCAAGUCCCUGCUGUGGGGACUUUGGUGGCAGCGGGCCAAGGCAGUUCCGGGCACCUAGGCUGAUUGUGUGACUGUGAGUUUGGUAAGCCGAGCCUGGGAGGUGUUUGCAAUGCCCUGAGCUGGCUCCUGGGAAUGCAUUCUGUGCCAUGCAGGGCCGUGUUGCAACGUGACUAAUGGAUGAGAAGGUUGAGGAGGAAAGCCAUUACUUCACCAACGUGAAUCAAGGUCAUUCGUCACCUCGGGAAGCACACGGAGCUGCGACAUUCAGGAGGGAGGCACGCUGCCCCCAAGCCAAGCCACGAUGUGGCCUGGCGCCGGUCCCAUGCAGCAGGGAGAAGGGAAGUUUCUGGAAGCGAAGAUGAGCUGGCAGCCAGGCCCAGGGCCCUGGCUGUGCAUGCAUCAGCCCCGUCUGAGAAAAAGAGUUUUGCCCAAGAGUGGGGCAAUGGUGCAGUUUCCAGGAGGCGCUGGCAGGAGCUGACUGGCCACUGAUACUGGCUGGGGUCUCUGGAGGACAGUGACUGGAGGAUCAGUGGCCUCUGACCCUCUCCUGUCACCUGAGGAAAUCAGGCCAAUCGUGAGCCACUAGAGUGUCCUCACCGAGACGGCCUCUCUCCCUGGUGUAACAAGCCACAUUUGCUGCUUUUCUGGGAGAGUGAGAAGCAACCACGUGGCUGACUUCUUUUCAAAGUUCUCUGCCUCAGAGGAGGAAGCCCCAUGGGUGGAGGCCAGGCCUGAGGCCAUCCUGCUCUGGGCCACAGCAUGCUUGUGUCUGAUGAGCGAGGACACGCCUCGUCUGGCUGAGGCUUCCAUUUCACACUGGCGGUUCGAACCCCCAUCAUGGCUUCCUUUUGGGCUCCCCUCCUCAGGGGCCCGGGCCUGAAAUGUGCUUGCCCUUCAUCCCUCAGGAUGUGUCCCUUCCUCAGAGAGGACUAAGUUAGCCCCUCCUCUAGUCUCGAUGUGCUCCAAAGCCCUUCCUAUUCACAGAAACUAUCUGGCCUAUUUAUUUGCUUGCUUGCUUGCUUCUGAUGUCUUCUCUUACUGAAAGGAAUCGAAGGGCCAAGGAAUGUGUUUCUCGUUGAUGUCAACUUGCUGCAAAGGACCACACCUGCUUCUCGACCCGGGAACGUGGGAAAGGGAAAGGCACGGCUUGUUUUGGUGGAGAUGGAGGAGCUGGUAACAGUGGAGGAAUGCCCUUCUUCUGAUUCACAGCGGGGAGGUGCUCUGGCCCCUGCCACUGCCCGAGGACUUCGGCUUUCGGUUGUCCUGAUGAGAGGACGUGGCAUUUGAGCAGUAGCUUCUGGAACCCAGCAUGAAGCCCCACCCAGGCACCCUGACAGCACCACGGGAAUGCUCCUGGCACGGCAAGCGGGACUCUGGAGAAGCACAGCCUCCGUGCUCCUUGUAGAUGUUCAGUUCAAACUCCACGGUUUGUGUGACUCACUGAGGGGCUUGGUUUGGCUCUCGCUGACGAGUCUGUCAUCGGUGCCAGGGGACAUGCUUGUCCCCUCCUUCCUUCUAGCCCUCUCUCUUGCCCCAGGCCUUCAUAAGCAGUGGGAGGGCUACUGUAUUGCCCUCUGGCCCAAGCUCUGGUAUUCCCUUUGUGGUGGGUGCUCUCAUUCCUUUGCAAUGUGCCCUGCAGUGUAAACCCGGGGGAUCCAUGAGACAGGGAACCCAUGUCUGUUUUCUCCAUUUGGUGUAGCAUGCCAGUGGGCGUUUGCCAGACAGGGCCUAUCAUGUGGACCCUACACCUAUUCACACACCUGCCAUUUUCCUUCGGAAUCCUGUUCCCAGUGGGUAAUGGGUUUAAAAGCCCAGAGCUGAAUUCUAUCCACAUUGGAUCCGACCCACAUUCCAAUGCUCUUGUAAGUCUCCAGUUGGUCAAAUGAGCAGUUUGAUCCCUUGAUCCUUCAAAAUACCAGAUAUAUUUAUUUCUUCUUGCCUUUUGAUCUUUCAAGCUUGAAAUUUCUCGGCACAUAAAAGUCUUCAAAAUGCCCUCAAACUUCUGUCUCCAAAGGCAAU